CAUAAUUCAAAUCGUCAAUUGAUAGAUAUGUUAAUAAUUUUGUUUUAUAUAUUCUUUGUAACUUGUGUGUUUAAAAGAGAGGUUAACAUUGGACUUUAAGCCUACUACAAGCUCUAAAUGUCUAACUCUAUUCAGUUUUCACAGGGUGUUUCCAUCUAUAAUGUCAACAAUAAUUGUGGAGGUAUUGUUGCUUAGGCAGUUUUGAAGAGUCAGAAGUGGGAUAUAAUUGAAGAGUUCAUUACCAGGACCCGUUGGUCCCCUGACUACAGUAGAAG
rnacentral:lncRNA from 1 species